rnacentral:rRNA from 1 species
ACGAACGCUGGCGGCAAGCUUAACACAUGCAAGUCGAGCGCCCCGCAAGGGGAGCGGCAGACGGGUGAGUAACGCGUGGGAACGUGCCUUUCGGUUCGGAACAACUGAGGGAAACUUCAGCUAAAACCGGAUACGCCCUUCGGGGGAAAGUUUACGCCGAAAGAUCGGCCCGCGUCAGAUUAGGUAGUUGGUGGGGUAAUGGCCUACCAAGCCUGCGAUCUGUAGCUGUUCUGAGAGGAAGAUCAGCCACAUUGGGACUGAGACACGGCCCAAACUCCUACGGGAGGCAGCAGUGGGGAAUAUUGGACAAUGGGCGCAAGCCUGAUCCAGCUAUGCCGCGUGGAUGAAGAAGGCCUUCGGGUUGUAAAGUCCUUUCGGUGGUGAAGAUAAUGACGGUAACCACAGAAGAAGCCCCGGCUAAUUUCGU